rnacentral:lncRNA from 1 species
CUGGUGGGUUUUGAACUCUGCUGGGUCUUCUUUUGGGUCUUCUUUUGCUUCUUCCCUGCUUUACACAUGGGGGCAGCACAAUCCUCCUGUCAAUAGUCUUUAUUUGUCUUAUAUCAACUUGCACCACACUUUGGACACCUAUCCAAGUCCUUGUAUUCAUCGCCGCGAUAUAGGAUAUAAUGAUUCCUACAUGCAUGGAUCUUCUCAACACCCAUAGUGAGUGGACUGAGCAGCUUCUUUGCAAAGUACGUGUUAGUAGGCAAUUUGUUCUCCUUUGGAAGCAUGUCUCCGAUAAUACUUAAGAACGUAUCAAAUCCAACAUCAGACAGACCGUAACUGGCUUUUGCCAUCAAUAGUUUUAGCAU